UACGAAGGGGGCUAGCGUUGCUCGGAAUCACUGGGCGUAAAGCGCACGUAGGCGGAUUGUUAAGUCAGGGGUGAAAUCCUGGAGCUCAACUCCAGAACUGCCUUUGAUACUGGCGAUCUCGAGUCCGGGAGAGGUGAGUGGAACUGCGAGUGUAGAGGUGAAAUUCGUAGAUAUUCGCAAGAACACCAGUGGCGAAAGCAGCUCUCUGGGACGGUACUGACGCUGAGACGCGAAAGCGUGGGGAGCGAACAGG
rnacentral:rRNA from 1 species